UACGGAGGGGGCUAGCGUUGUUCGGAUUUACUGGGCGUAAAGCGCAUGUAGGCGGCUUUUCAAGUUGGGGGUGAAAUCCCGGGGCUUAACCCCGGAAUUGCCUUCAAAACUGGAUGGCUAGAGACAGAGAGAGGUGAAUGGAAUUUCCAGUGUAGAGGUGGAAUUCGUAGAUAUUGGAAAGAACACCAGUGGCGAAGGCGGUUCACUGGCUCUGUUCUGACGCUGAGGUGCGAAAGCGUGGGGAGCAAACAGG
rnacentral:rRNA from 1 species